UGGGGAAUUUUGGACAAUGGGCGAAAGCCUGAUCCAGCAAUGCCGCGUGUGUGAAGAAGGCCUUCGGGUUGUAAAGCACUUUUGUCCGGAAAGAAAUCCUUGGCUCUAAUACAGUCGGGGGAUGACGGUACCGGAAGAAUAAGCACCGGCUAACUACGUGCCAGCAGCCGCGGUAAUACGUAGGGUGCAAGCGUUAAUCGGAAUUACUGGGCGUAAAGCGUGCGCAGGCGGUUUGCUAAGACCGAUGUGAAAUCCCCGGGCUCAACCUGGGAACUGCAUUGGUGACUGGCAGGCUAGAGUAUGGCAGAGGGGGGUAGAAUUCCACGUGUAGCAGUGAAAUGCGUAGAGAUGUGGAGGAAUACCGAUGGCGAAGGCAGCCCCCUGGGCCAAUACUGACGCUCAUGCACGAAAGCGUGGGGAGCAAACAGGAUUAGAUACCCUGGUAGUCCACGCCCUAAACGAUGUCAACUAGUUGUUGGGGAUUCAUUUCCUUAGUAACGUAGCUAACGCGUGAAGUUGACCGCCUGGGGAGUACGUCGCAAGAUUAAACUU
rnacentral:rRNA from 1 species